CGUACCCUAGCAGGAAGGGGUUUCACUAAAAAAUACAGAAGUAAUCGUUAUCGCUGUUCUUCUUUCUCUUCCUAUUGCUCCACCCAAACGAAGACGACGCUCCAUUUUGCCUUUGCUUUUCAAUUUUUCCACUGACUCCACCAUGUCUUUCAAUUAGGGUUCGGGCAUUCUCGUCGUUUUCGGCGCCGUUAAUUACAACAACGGUCAACAUGGUUGCUCUUUCGCUUUCGACUCCCAAUUUCUCCACUGCUUUCCUCGCCAAGAAACUCCCCCUCCGAGAACAUGCGAGGAAGCUUUCGACCUUUUGCGGCAAUUCAUUUCGCACUAGAUGCGCGGUGGACACGCCCUAUGGAGGUAAUGUCCAAAAGUUCCCUCGAAUGAAUGUUUGGGAUCCUUACCGACGCCUUGGUGUUAGCUCUGAUGCUUCUGAAGAAGAAAUCUGGGGAUCAAGAAAUUUUCUGCUGCAACAAUAUGCUGGACAUGAGAGGAGUGAAGAAUCAAUAGAAGCAGCAUUUGAAAAAAUAUUGAUGGCAAGUUUCAUACAGAGGAAGAAAACAAAAAUUAAUUUGAAAAGCAAGUUGAAAAAGAAAGUAGAGGAGUCUCCACCAUGGGUCAAGAACUUGCUAAACUUUGUUGAACUUCCACCAACAGAUAUAAUCCUCAGAAGAUUGUUUCUCUUUGCCUUCAUGGGUGGUUGGAGUAUUAUGAAUUCAGCUGAAACUGGACCUGCUUUUCAGCUUGGGCACUCACUUUUUAAGGCAUUCAGGCUUUUCAAUAGAAUGUCAAUGACUCAAUAUCACCUUUUUUGGUCUUAGACCCUUCCUAUCUGGGGGCCAUUGACUAAUUUGAAUUGAGUGGUAUUGAAGGGAAGAAAGCUCUGCUUGCAUGUAUCCUCCCCGUCUCCCUUCACUGGAUUGGAAUCUAAGAUAUUUUUUAAAGGGAACCGAGUCCUUACUAUUUGGAUCAAUAGAUGAUGGUGUGAUAUUACCUACGCUAAUACAUGUCUACUGAUCCCUUCAUUUGUUCACAAGUGUAUUAUGGCAUGUUAAGGUGAUUGUGUUCUAAACUAUUUGAUCGAAGGUUCAUGUUUUGUUGGAGUUACAUCAGGGAACGUUUUUAAAAUAGUAUCUAUGCUCUGUCUCUCCAUUUCCUGCUUCCUCGGUGUGCCUGAAAAAUUGCUUGUUGACGAACCGUUGUUUUGCUACAGGUGGCAAUCUCUUUGGCUGCUUGCAUAUAUUUUCUUAACGAAAAGACCAAAAGCUUAGCUAGAGCGUUCAUUAUUGGGUUUGGAGCACUAGUCGCUGGAUGGGUCUCUGGUUCAUUGCUGGUACCCAAUAUUCCAUCUAUGUUGCUUCGCCCAACUUGGACACUUGAACUCUUAACAUCACUGGUAGUAUAUUUGUUCUUGUUCCUUGCAUGUACUUUUCUCAAAUGAAAUGGUAACUAUUCUUUCAUAGUUUUAUUCGGUAUACUGUAUUCUUGAUGAGUUUACAGGUGAUCAAAUUCAACCUUUUAUCUUAGCGAGCUAAAUUGGCUACUUUUGUGCUUGCUAUGAAUACAACUGUUGGGUAGGCAAUGUUUAGCGUAGAUAUUAAUUACUAAGAUUCCUUG